GCAUAUCAAUAAGCGGAGGAAAAGAAACUAACAAGGAUUCCCCUAGUAACGGCGAGUGAAGCGGGAAGAGCUCAAAUUUAAAAUCUGUAAGGUUCAACCUUGCCGAAUUGUAGUUUGAWGAAGUGUUUUCCGCGGCGGCUGCAGUACAAAUCCUUUGGAACAGGGUAUCAGAGAGGGUGAGAAUCCCGUCUUUGACUGCAGACUAGUUGCACUGUGAUACACUUUCUAAGAGUCGAGUUGUUUGGGAAUGCAGCUCAAAAUGGGUGGUAAAUUUCAUCUAAAGCUAAAUAUUGGCAAGAGACCGAUAGCGAACAAGUACCGUGAGGGAAAGAUGAAAAGAACUUUGAAAAGAGAGUUAAAUAGUACGUGAAAUUGUUAAAAGGGAAACGCUUGAAGUCAGUGUUGCCGGCUGAAAAUCAGCUUCGUGCGGACGGCUUGCUGCGGUGGAGGGAGUGUUAAAACCCCUUGCUGUAGUACAGCUGGCCGGAGGGAGUGCACUUUUUAGUCGGCAGGUCAACAUCAAUUUCAGCCGGUGGAAAAAAGCAAGUGGAACGUAGGUUGGAGCAAUCUGACUGUUAUAGCCACUAGUGGAUACACCGGCGGGGAUUGAGGACAGCAGUGCUGGCCAWUAUGGCGGAAGCGCUGGCUUUUUCUCCGGGGGGCAUACCAAGACAGCAUGCUGACUUGGCGUGUACACUCUUGGGAACGAGUCGGAUGUACUUCUCCAGCACUAAGGAUGUUGACGAAAUGGCUUUAA
rnacentral:rRNA from 1 species